CCUACGGGAGGCAGCAGUAGGGAAUCUUCCACAAUGGACGAAAGUCUGAUGGAGCAACGCCGCGUGAGUGAAGAAGGGUUUCGGCUCGUAAAGCUCUGUUGGUAGUGAAGAAAGAUAGAGGUAGUAACUGGCCUUUAUUUGACGGUAAUUACUUAGAAAGUCACGGCUAACUACGUGCCAGCAGCCGCGGUAAUACGUAGGUGGCAAGCGUUGUCCGGAUUUAUUGGGCGUAAAGCGAGUGCAGGCGGUUCAAUAAGUCUGAUGUGAAAGCCUUCGGCUCAACCGGAGAAUUGCAUCAGAAACUGUUGAACUUGAGUGCAGAAGAGGAGAGUGGAACUCCAUGUGUAGCGGUGGAAUGCGUAGAUAUAUGGAAGAACACCAGUGGCGAAGGCGGCUCUCUGGUCUGCAACUGACGCUGAGGCUCGAAAGCAUGGGUAGCGAACAGGAUUAGAUACCCUGGUAGUC
rnacentral:rRNA from 2 species